rnacentral:rRNA from 1 species
UACGUAGGCAGCGAGCGUUGUUCGGAGUUACUGGGCGUAAAGAGUGCGUAGGCGGUGUUCCAAGUCUGUUGUGAAAUCUCCCGGCUUAACUGGGAGGGUGCGGCGGAAACUGGAAUGCUGGAGUGUGGGAGAGGUAAGCGGAAUUCCCGGUGUAGCGGUGAAAUGCGUAGAUACCGGGAGGAACACCCGCAGCGAAGGCGGCCCGCUGGGCCACCCCUGACGCUGAGGCGCGAAGGCUCGGGGAGCGAACGGG